GAUGAACGCUGGCGGCGUGCCUAAUACAUGCAAGUCGAGCGAACAGAUAAGGAGCUUGCUCCUUUGACGUUAGCGGCGGACGGGUGAGUAACACGUGGGUAACCUACCUAUAAGACUGGAAUAACUCCGGGAAACCGGGGCUAAUGCCGGAUAACAUUUAGAACCGCAUGGUUCUAAAGUGAAAGAUGGUUUUGCUAUCACUUAUAGAUGGACCCGCGCCGUAUUAGCUAGUUGGUAAGGUAACGGCUUACCAAGGCAACGAUACGUAGCCGACCUGAGAGGGUGAUGGGCCACACUGGAACGGAGACACGGUCCAGACCCCGACGGGGGGAAGAAGAAGGGAAUCUUCCGCAAUGGGCGAAAGCCGGACGGAGCAACGCCGCGUGAGUAAGAAAGGUCUUGGAAUCUUAAAACUCUUUUAUUGGGGAAAAACAAAUGUGAAAGUAACGGUGCACGUCUUGACGUUACCUAAUCAGAAGGCCACGGCUAGUUACGUC
rnacentral:rRNA from 1 species